GACUCUCAAUAAUAGAUAUCUUAGCUCUCACAUCAAUGAAGAACACAGUAAAAUACGACACUUGGUUUGAAUUGUAAAAUCUCGUGAACCAUCGAGUUUUUGAACGCAAGUUGUGCCCAAGGCCAUUAUGCCAAGGGCAUGUCUGCCUGGGUGUCA
rnacentral:rRNA from 1 species